rnacentral:rRNA from 1 species
CAGUGGCGAACGGGUGAGUAACACGUGGGCAAUCUGCCCUGCACUCUGGGACAAGCCCUGGAAACGGGGUCUAAUACCGGAUAUUACCUUCCCCUGCAUGGGGGUUGGUGGAAAGCUCCGGCGGUGCAGGAUGAGCCCGCGGCCUAUCAGCUUGUUGGUGGGGUAAUGGCCUACCAAGGCGACGACGGGUAGCCGGCCUGAGAGGGCGACCGGCCACACUGGGACUGAGACACGGCCCAGACUCCUACGGGAGGCAGCAGUGGGGAAUAUUGCACAAUGGGCGAAAGCCUGAUGCAGCGACGCCGCGUGAGGGAUGACGGCCUUCGGGUUGUAAACCUCUUUCAGCAGGGAAGAAGCGAAAGUGACGGUACCUGCAGAAGAAGCACCGGCUAACUACGUGCCAGCAGCCGCGGUAAUACGUAGGGUGCGAGCGUUGUCCGGAAUUAUUGGGCGUAAAGAGCUCGUAGGCGGCCUGUUGCGUCGGUUGU